rnacentral:rRNA from 1 species
CCUACGGGAGGCUGCAGUGGGGGAUCUUGCACAAUGGAGGAAACUCUGAUGCAGCGACGCCGCGUGAGGGAAGACGGUCUUCGGAUCGUAAACCCCUGUUGUUGGAGAAGAAAAUGCCGGUACCUAACUAGUCACGUUUGGCCAACUACGUGCCAGACGCCGCGGUCAUACGUAGGGGCCGAGGGCUGUGCGGAACUACUGGGUGCAAAGUGAUCCUAGGCGGGCGGGCAUGUUGAAUGUUAAAUCUACCGGCUUAACUGGUAGCUGCGUUCAACACUUCUUGUCUGGAGUGAAGUUGAGGCAGGCGUAAUUCCUAGUGUAGCGGUGAGAUGCGUGGAUAUUAGGAGGAACACCAGUGGCGAGGGCGGCCUGCUGGGCUGUAGCUGACGCUGAGGCUCGAAAGCGUGGGGAGCAGACAGGAUUAGAUACCCCGGUAGUC